GACGAACGCUGGCGGCGUGCUUAACACAUGCAAGUCGAACGGAAAGGCCCUGCUUUUGUGGGGUGCUCGAGUGGCGAACGGGUGAGUAACACGUGAGUAACCUGCCCUUGACUUUGGGAUAACUUCAGGAAACUGGGGCUAAUACCGGAUAGGAGCUCCUGCUGCAUGGUGGGGGUUGGAAAGUUUCGGCGGUUGGGGAUGGACUCGCGGCUUAUCAGCUUGUUGGUGGGGUAGUGGCUUACCAAGGCUUUGACGGGUAGCCGGCCUGAGAGGGUGACCGGCCACAUUGGGACUGAGAUACGGCCCAGACUGCUACAUGAGGCAGCAGUGGGGAAUAUUGCACAAUGGGCGGAAGCCUGAUGCAGCAACGCCGCGUGCGGGAUGACGGCCUUCGGGUUGUAAACCGCUUUCGCCUGUGACGAAGCGUGAGUGACGGUAAUGAAUAAAGAAGCACCGGCUAACUACGUG
rnacentral:rRNA from 1 species